UCUGCUGGAAGUCACGCAAGUCUUUACACUUGCUCGGGCAAUAAAUUUGUUCUGUCUGUUAAAUUUUAACCAGCUUCUCUGUGUCUUCGUGCUCAUGUUGACUGUUAUCGACUCACGCCCAGUCUCACUGUAAUUCCCGUCAGACUUAAUGAAGUGUGUGAUAUAAAGUCUCGACCGGCUUCAGGUGCGCUUCAGUUUCUGUUCACUCAUUGUUGGGGAUUUGAUGAGACAUGUUGGAUAGUUGAGCUUCAAAGAACUGACUUCAGUGGUUAAAGAUGUCGGUGCCACUACUGCUCUUGGAUGUUCUGGACAACCUGAGUACCGAUGAACUGAAAAGAUUCAAAUGGUUUCUCGGUCUGAAGAUGUUAAAAGGCUGUGAUCCAAUUCUGUUCAGCCACCUGGAGAGCCCUCAUCGGGAGGACACAGUGAGCACGAUGAUACAAAGCUACGGGGAAGAAAAUACUGUGAACAUGACUGUUGCGAUCCUGAAGCAAAUGAAACUCAACAACACUGCAGAGGAAUUGCAGAAAUCACACGCAGAGGGAACAGCGGCUAGAGGGAAAGUCUCUCGUCCACCGAUCUCUUUGCGUGCUCCAGGUCUUCCAACUGGACGGAAAAUCACUACAGCUGGUUCCACCGCUCCCAAGUCCCUGAUAACCCCAAAGUUUAGGGAUCAAUUAAGCCGUAUCAUCGACAAUGGUACAGGCGGUAACACUGGAGGUACUGGUGGUGGUAAUCGCAAUGUCGGCAGAGACGUUGGCCGAAAUGGUCCCGCUAACGGGAAUGUUGGCGGUAGAGUUUGCGGAAACAGCAAUGUGACUAUCAGUGAUAAUGUUGGCAGCAAUGUUGUCAGCAACGUUGUCAGCAAUGUUGGCAGCAAUGUUGUCAGCAACGUUGUCAGCAAUGUUGGCAGCAAUGUUGUCAGCAACG